UCUCCGUUGGUGAACCAGCGGAGGGAUCAUUACCGAGUUUACAACUCCCAAACCCAAUGUGAACCAUACCAAACUGUUGCCUCGGCGGGGUCACGCCCCGGGUGCGUCGCAGCCCCGGAACCAGGCGCCCGCCGGAGGGACCAACCAAACUCUUUUCUGUAGUCCCCUCGCGGACGUUAUUUCUUACAGCUCUGAGCAAAAAUUCAAAAUGAAUCAAAACUUUCAACAACGGAUCUCUUGGUUCUGGCAUCGAUGAAGAACGCAGCGAAAUGCGAUAAGUAAUGUGAAUUGCAGAAUUCAGUGAAUCAUCGAAUCUUUGAACGCACAUUGCGCCCGCCAGUAUUCUGGCGGGCAUGCCUGUCCGAGCGUCAUUUCAACCCUCGAACCCCUCCGGGGGGUCGGCGUUGGGGACCUCGGGAGCCCCUAAGACGGGAUCCCGGCCCCGAAAUACAGUGGCGGUCUCGCCGCAGCCUCUCCUGCGCAGUAGUUUGCACAACUCGCACCGGGAGCGCGGCGCGUCCACGUCCGUAAAACACCCAACUUCUGAAAUGUUGACCUCGGAUCAGGUAGGAAUACCCGCUGAACUUAA
rnacentral:sRNA from 1 species